GACGAACGCUGGCGGCGUGCUUAACACAUGCAAGUCGAACGAUGAAGCCGGAGCUUGCUCUGGUGAAUUAGUGGCGAACGGGUGAGUAACACGUGAGUAACCUGCCCUUGACUCUGGGAUAACUGCGGGAAACUGUAGCUAAUACCGGAUACGACCCUCGGAGGCAUCUCCUGGGGGUGGAAAGAAUUUCGGUCAAGGAUGGACUCGCGGCCUAUCAGCUAGUUGGUGAGGUAAAGGCUCACCAAGGCGACGACGGGUAGCCGGCCUGAGAGGGUAACCGGCCACACUGGGACUGAGACCCGGCCCAGCCUCCUACGGGAGGCAGCAGUGGGGAAUAUUGCACAAUGGGCGCAAGCCUGAUGCAGCAACGCCGCGUGAGGGAUGACGGCCUUCGGGUUGUAAACCUCUUUUAGUAGGGAAGAAGCGAAAGUGACGGUACCUGCAGAAAAAGCACCGGCUAACUACGUGCCAGCAGCCGCCGUAA
rnacentral:rRNA from 1 species